GACGAACGCUGGCGGCGUGCCUAAUACAUGCAAGUCGAACGCAGUGGGGACGGGUGAGUAACACGUGGGUAACCUCCCAUCAGAGGGGAUAACACUUGGAAAAAGGUGCUAAACCGAUACUGAUGGAUGGACCCGCGGGUCAUUAGCUAGUUGGUGAGGUAACGGCUCACCAAGGCACCGAUGAAUAGCCGACCUGAGAUGGUGAUUGGUCCCACUGGGACUGAGAUGCGGCCCAGACUCCUACGGGAGGCAGCAUUAGGGAGUCUUCUGCAAGGGACGAAAGUCGGACCGAGCAUCGCCGCGUGAGUGAAGAAGGUUUUCGUAUCGUAAAACUCUGUUGUUAGAGAAGCGGUAUCUAACCAGAAGGCCACGGCUAACUACGUGACAGCAGCCGCGGUAAUAC
rnacentral:rRNA from 1 species